rnacentral:ncRNA from 1 species
GCGAAAGUAGUCAAGGGCGCAUGGCGGAUGCCUUGGCUCACGCAGGCGAUGAAGGACGUGACAAGCUGCGAUAAGCGCGGGGUAGGAGCAAAUAUCCUUUGAUCCCGUGAUUUCCGAAUGGGACAACCCGGUUACCUGAAGGGUAAUCAUCACUAUUUAUAUAGUGAGGCAAACGGAGGGAACUGAAACAUCUUAGUACCUCCAGGAGAAGAGAACAACAGUGAUUCCCCCAGUAGUGGCGAGCGACCGGGGAAGAGCCCAAACCGCUUGUGUGGCGACGCACAUGCGGGGUAGUAGGACCACGCCGUGGCACGGCGAGUGUGAGUGGAAGAGUCUGGAAAGUCUCAUCACAGAGGGUGACAAUCCCGUACACGAAGCACGAUCCGGCCUAGUGGUAUCCUGAGUAACGCGGGACACGAGUAAUCCUGCGCGAAUCCGCCGGGCCCAUCCGGCAAGGCUAAAUACUCGCGUGAGACCGAUAGCGUACAAGUACCGUGAGGGAAAGGUGAAAAGCACCCCGACGAGGGGAGUGAAAGAGUACCUGAAACCAUGCGCCUACAAGCGGUCGGAGCCUUUUUUUGAGGUGACGGCGUGCCUUUUGCAUAAUGAACCUACGAGUUGCCAUGUCGUGCGAGGUUAAGAGUGAUGACACUCCGAGCCGCAGUGAAAGCGAGCGUUAAUAGCGCGUAUAUCAGUACGAUGGGGCAGACGCGAAACCGAGUGAUCUACACAUGUCCAGGAUGAAGUCCCGGUAACACGGGAUGGAGGUCCGCACCGAUAAGCGUUGAAAAGCUUCCGGAUGAGGUGUGUGUAGGAGUGAAAGGCCAAUCAAACUCGGAGAUAGCUCGUACUCCCCGAAAGGCAUUUA